GCCACAUUCCCAUCGGCCACUUUGCUGCGGUUUAUCGAGUUACAGGUCAAUAAGUGCAGGCGAUGCACUGUUUCUGACCUGCUUGGCUUGGUGGUCAUCUUAAAUGCAAAAGAUGUUUUUGCCCUUGGACAAACCUAUAGACUGGCCAGUAUUCUGUGGGUACUUACUGCUACCUCCUGUGCCACCUCCCUGACUAGGUUUUAGCUGGUCAUACCCAAUUUGAAGGCAUGGCACCAUGGCCUAGCUCUGUUCUUUGUCUGGAAGUGACUGAUGUCCUCUGUUCAAGGGCAGUAUUCUCUGGGCAACUGAUCAUUCUACCAUGAUUGCCAGGUAAAUCUGCCAGUCCUUGGUUCAGUACUGGACAGUCUGCAGUAGAGGCAAGGUGUACGUGCCAGCUUGGCGCUACAAAUGGCUUGCAUGAGCUGUCUGGCUUUCUGGAACAAACUUAGAAUCUGGUCCCCCCUCUAAACCUGAGUCACACGACUGGCCUGGAAAACCUAAAAAGGAACUCUUGGAGUUGAUUGGAAGUUUUAGAACUAAGCAGAAAUGCAAGGAGCUGAUGGACUCAUUCAGCCAGUUUAUUCUCCAAGACUUAUGUGGAUGAAAAAUGCUAAUAAAGUUAUUUUGUGAAAUGA